rnacentral:rRNA from 1 species
UACGGAGGGGGCUAGCGUUGUUCGGAAUUACUGGGCGUAAAGCGCGCGUAGGCGGACCUGCAAGUCGGGGGUGAAAGCCCGAGGCUCAACCUCGGAACUGCCUUCGAUACUGCGGGUCUCGAGUCCGGGAGAGGGUGAGUGGAAUUCCUAGUGUAGAGGUGAAAUUCGUAGAUAUUAGGAAGAACACCAGUGGCGAAGGCGGCUCACUGGCCCGGUACUGACGCUGAGGCGCGAAAGCGUGGGGAGCAAACAGGG